rnacentral:lncRNA from 1 species
AAUCAAGCAUAUGAUCUGGUCCAUAACAUCAGACCCCCAAGCGCAAAUCUUCCUCCAAAUGAAAGAGCUUCCUCGGGCGGCAUGGAUAGGGGUCCCAUGGCUCCACCCAUCAUAGUGGGCCCUUAUCACCCUACUCCAUAAAUAGUCUGGUUGGAUCAGGAAUCUAGCCACAUGCCUCACAAUCAAAGCCUCCCUCCUUGUCAAUAAGGAGUAGAUCUCCAGACCACCAUUCUGCACUGGCUGGCACACCACCGCCCA